ACUCAAAUGAAUUGACGGGGACCCGCACAAGCAGAGGAGGAUGGGGUUUAAUUCGACGCUAAGCGAAGAACCUUACCAAGACUUGACAUCCUGGGAAGUUUAGGGAAACCUUUACGUGCCUUUUAGGAACCCAGUGACAGAUGCUGCAUGGCCGUCGUCAGCUCGUGUCGUGAGAUGUUUGGUUAAGUCCAUCAACGAGCGCAACCCUCGUCGUCAGUUAUAUUUUCUGGCGAGACCGCCCGGGCCAACCGGGAGGAAGGUGGGGAUGACGUCUGGUCAGCAUGGCUCUUACGUCUUGGGCUACACCCGUCCUACAAUGGCCACUACAACGCGUUGCCAAACCGUAAGGUGGAGCUAAUCGCACCAAAAGUGGUCUCAGUUCGGAUUGAGGGCUGAAACUCGCCCUCAUGAAGUCGGAUUUGCUAGUAAUGGCAGGUCAGCCAUACUGCCGUGAAUACGUUCCCGGGUCUUGUACACACCGCCCGU
rnacentral:rRNA from 1 species